UACGAAGGGUGCAAGCGUUACUCGGAAUUACUGGGCGUAAAGCGUGCGUAGGUGGUUCGUUAAGUCUGUCGUGAAAGCCCCGGGCUCAACCUGGGAAUGGCGAUGGAUACUGGCGGGCUAGAGUGCGGUAGAGGGUGGUGGAAUUCCCGGUGUAGCAGUGAAAUGCGUAGAGAUCGGGAGGAAGGCCGGUGGCGAAGGCGGCGCUCUGGAACGUUUCUGACGCUGAGGCUCGAAAGCGUGGGGAGCAAACAGG
rnacentral:rRNA from 1 species